UAUUGCUCUCAGCUCAGCCAAGCUCCUCUAGUCUCCGAUCUUCCCUAGCCCGGAGUUCUCUAGUUUGAAAAGAGCGUACAUGAAUGAUGGAAUUCGAAGAUCUAUCCAAUUAUUCAACAAAAAAAAUAUAUCUAAUGGUAAUUUAAUGGUGGAAUCACAUGAAUGAAGGUGAAACAAAGUAGAAAACAAUAAGUUGGGAUCUAUAUGGUUGAACAUGCACCAGAAUUUGGUCCUAUCACAUAAUCUUUUAGAUGUUGAUUAAUG
rnacentral:lncRNA from 1 species